GGGGCUGUAGCUCAGUUGGGAGAGCGCUUCGUUCGCAUCGAAGAGGCCAGGAGUUCGAUCCUCCUCAGCUCCACCA
rnacentral:tRNA from 1 species